AUUGAACGCUGGCGGCAUGUUUUACACAUGCAAGUCGAACGGUAACAGCACUUCGGUGGCUGACGAGUGGCGAACGGGUGAGUAAUACAUCGGAACGUGCCUAGUAGUGGGGGAUAACUACUCGAAAGAGUAGCUAAUACCGCAUGAGAUCUAAGGAUGAAAGCAGGGGACCUUCGGGCCUUGCGCUACUAGAGCGGCUGAUGGCAGAUUAGGUAGUUGGUGGGAUAAAAGCUUACCAAGCCGACGAUCUGUAGCUGGGCUGAGAGGACGACCAGCCACACUGGGAAUGAGAAAAGGCCCAGACUCCUAAGGGAGGGAGCAGGGGGGAAUUUUGGACAAUGGGCGCAAGCCUGAUCCAGCAAUGCCGCGUGCAGGAUGAAGGCCUUCGGGUUGUAAAAUGCUUUUGUACGGAACGAAAAGCCCUCUUCUAAUACAGGAGGGUCAUGACGGUACCGGAAGAAUAAGCACCGGCUAACUACGUG
rnacentral:rRNA from 1 species